rnacentral:rRNA from 1 species
UACGGAGGGGGGCAAGCGUUGUUCGGAAUUACUGGGCGUAAAGGGCGCGCAGGCGGCUGCUCAAGUCAGGCGUGAAAGGCCUGGGCUCAACCCGGGAAUUGCGCUUGAGACUGGGCUGGCUUGAGUGCGGGAGAGGAUGGUGGAAUUCCCAGUGUAGAGGUGAAAUGCGUAGAGAUAUGGAGGAACACCAGUGGCGAAGGCGACUUUCUGGUCUGUAACUGACACUGAGGCGCGAAAAGCGUGGGGGAGCAAACAGG